rnacentral:rRNA from 1 species
GAUGAACGCUGGCGGCGUGCCUAAUACAUGCAAGUCGAGCGAACGGACGAGAAGCUUGCUUCUCUGAUGUUAGCGGCGGACGGGUGAGUAACACGUGGAUAACCUACCUAUAAGACUGGGAUAACUUCGGGAAACCGGAGCUAAUACCGGAUAAUAUUUUGAACCGCAUGGUUCAAAAGUGAAAGACGGUCUUGCUGUCACUUAUAGAUGGAUCCGCGCUGCAUUAGCUAGUUGGUAAGGUAACGGCUUACCAAGGCAACGAUGCAUAGCCGACCUGAGAGGGUGAUCGGCCACACUGGAACUGAGACACGGUCCAGACUCCUACGGGAGGCAGCAGUAGGGAAUCUUCCGCAAUGGGCGAAAGCCUGACGGAGCAACGCCGCGUGAGUGAUGAAGGUCUUCGGAUCGUAAAACUCUGUUAUUAGGGAAGAACAUAUGUGUAAGUAACUGUGCACAUCUUGACGGUACCUAAUCAGAAAGCCACGGCUAACUACGUGCCAGCAGCCGCGGUAAUACGUAGGUGGCAAGCGUUAUCCGGAAUUAUUGGGCGUAAAGCGCGCGUAGGCGGUUUUUUAAGUCUGAUGUGAAAGCCCACGGCUCAACCGUGGGGGGUCAUUGGAAACUGGAAAACUUGAGUGCAGAAGAGGAAAGUGGAAUUCCAUGUGUAGCGGUGAAAUGCGCAGAGAUAUGGAGGAACACCAGUGGCGAAGGCGACUUUCUGGUCUGUAACUGACGCUGAUGUGCGAAAGCGUGGGGAUCAAACAGGAUUAGAUACCCUGGUAGUCCACGCCGUAAACGAUGAGUGCUAAGUGUUAGGGGGUUUCCGCCCCUUAGUGCUGCAGCUAACGCAUUGAGCACUCCGCCUGGGGAGUACGACCGCAAGGUUGAAACUCAAAGGAAUUGACGGGGACCCGCACAAGCGGUGGAGCAUGUGGUUUAAUUCGAAGCAACGCGAAGAACCUUACCAAAUCUUGACAUCCUUUGACAACUCUAGAGAUAGAGCCUUCCCCUUCGGGGGACAAAGUGACAGGUGGUGCAUGGUUGUCGUCAGCUCGUGUCGUGAGAUGUUGGGUUAAGUCCCGCAACGAGCGCAACCCUUAAGCUUAGUUGCCAUCAUUAAGUUGGGCACUCUAAGUUGACUGCCGGUGACAAACCGGAGGAAGGUGGGGAUGACGUCAAAUCAUCAUGCCCCUUAUGAUUUGGGCUACACACGUGCUACAAUGGACAAUACAAAGGGCAGCGAAACCGCGAGGUCAAGCAAAUCCCAUAAAGUUGUUCUCAGUUCGGAUUGUAGUCUGCAACUCGACUACAUGAAGCUGGAAUCGCUAGUAAUCGUAGAUCAGCAUGCUACGGUGAAUACGUUCCCGGGUCU